UACGAAGGGGGCUAGCGUUGCUCGGAAUUACUGGGCGUAAAGGGUGCGUAGGUGGGUCUGUAAGUCAGUGGUGAAAUCUUCGAGCUUAACUCGGAAACUGCCAUUGAUACUAUAGAUCUUGAAUUUUCUGGAGGUAAGCGGAAUAUGUCAUGUAGCGGUGAAAUGCUUAGAUAUGACAUAGAACACCAAUUGCGAAGGCAGCUUACUACGGGAACAUUGACACUGAGGCACGAAAGCGUGGGGAUCAAACAGG
rnacentral:rRNA from 1 species